rnacentral:rRNA from 1 species
AGUGAACGCUGGCGGUAGGCCUAACACAUGCAAGUCGAACGGCAGCACAGUAAGAGCUUGCUCUUACGGGUGGCGAGUGGCGGACGGGUGAGGAAUACAUCGGAAUCUACUUUUUCGUGGGGGAUAACGUAGGGAAACUUACGCUAAUACCGCAUACGACCUACGGGUGAAAGCAGGGGAUCUUCGGACCUUGCGCGAUUGAAUGAGCCGAUGUCGGAUUAGCUAGUUGGCGGGGUAAAGGCCCACCAAGGCGACGAUCCGUAGCUGGUCUGAGAGGAUGGUCAGCCACACUGGAACUGAGACACGGUCCAGACUCCUACGGGAGGCAGCAGUGGGGAAUAUUGGACAAAGGGCGCAAGCCUGAUCCAGCCAUACCGCGUGGGUGAAGAAGGCCUUCGGGUUGUAAAGCCCUUUUGUUGGGAAAGAAAAGCAGCAGGUUAAUACCCCGCUGUUCUGACGGUACCUAAAGAAUAAGCACCGGCUAACUUCGUG